AAAUUGAAGAGUUUGAUCAUGGCUCAGAUUGAACGCUGGCGGCAGGCCUAACACAUGCAAGUCGAACGGUAACAGGAAACAGCUUGCUGUUUCGCUGACGAGUGGCGGACGGGUGAGUAAUGUCUGGGAAACUGCCUGAUGGAGGGGGAUAACUACUGGAAACGGUAGCUAAUACCGCAUAAUGUCGCAAGACUAAAGAGGGGGACCUUCGGGCCUCUUGCCAUCGGAUGUGCCCAGAUGGGAUUAGCUAGUAGGUGGGGUAACGGCUCACCUAGGCGACGAUCCCUAGCUGGUCUGAGAGGAUGACCAGCCACACUGGAACUGAGACACGGUCCAGACUCCUACGGGAGGCAGCAGUGGGGAAUAUUGCACAAUGGGCGCAAGCCUGAUGCAGCCAUGCCGCGUGUAUGAAGAAGGCCUUCGGGUUGUAAAGUACUUUCAGCGGGGAGGAAGGGAG
rnacentral:rRNA from 1 species